rnacentral:rRNA from 1 species
CCUACGGGAGGCAGCAGUGGGGAAUAUUGCACAAUGGGGGAAACCCUGAUGCAGCAACGCCGCGUGAGUGAAGAAGUAUUUCGGUAUGUAAAGCUCUAUCAGCAGGGAGGAAGAUGACGGUACCUGAUCCAGAAGCCGCGGCCAUCUACGUGACAGAAGCCGGGGUAAUAUGUAGGGGGCAGAGGUUAUCCGGAUUUACUGGGCGUAAAGGGAGGGCAGACGGCAGUGCAAGUCUGGAGGGAAAGCCCGGGGCCCAACCCCGGAACUGCCGUGGAAACUGUGCGGCUAGAGAACUGGAGGGGCAGGCGGAAUGCGUAGUGUAGCGGUGAAAUGCUUAGAUAUUAGGAAGAACACCAGUGGCGAAGGCGGCCUGCUGGACAGUAACUGACGUUGAGGCUCGAAAGCGUGGGGAGCAAACAGGAUUAGAUACCCGAGUAGUC